GCGUGAGUGAUGAAGGCCUUAGGGUUGUAAAGCUCUUUCGCACGCGACGAUGAUGACGGUAGCGUGAGAAGAAGCCCCGGCUAACUUCGUGCCAGCAGCCGCGGUAAUACGAAGGGGGCGAGCGUUGUUCGGAAUUACUGGGCGUAAAGGGCGCGCAGGCGGCCCUCAUAGUCAGGCGUGAAAGCCCCGGGCUCAACCUGGGAAUUGCGCUUGAUACUGGGGGGCUGGAGUUCGGGAGAGGAGAGUGGAAUUCCCAGUGUAGAGGUGAAAUUCGU
rnacentral:rRNA from 1 species